CUGAGCGUUGCGGAUGACAUUACGUCGCCCCGUGUGACAGGGCACCUACGAAGACCGCGAGAUGAAGUUCGCGCGCAACGUCAUUCAGGACGGGGAUCGCGUUCUCGAGCUUGGG
rnacentral:tRNA from 1 species